ACUACAGUCGCAACCCAAAUGCCGGAGCCCUACGGUGUAUCCCGUGAUCUCGCACUCGCGAGAGCGACUCCUCUUCGAUCUGAAGCCCAAAGGUGGCUUCUUUCCCCGGAAGUCAGGGGAGAAACAAUCGAGAGCCUGUGAUAGAGAGACUAAAGGUUUAACCUUCCCCUUCAGUUUUGCGUCCAGAAGCUUGUACUGUUAUUGCUUCUCAAGAACAUAUUGGGAAGGGAGCUUGUUCCGAUCCUUGAAAGCCACUGAAUGGCUAAGAUUUCUUUCACUAAAAUGUCUUAUUAAAUAAAUUUGGUAAUGCUGGCGGCGUUCCAUUUGAACAUUCCCAAAUGUAGCUUUCACAACAUCACGGUCAUAUUUAAUGUACCAACUAUUCCAUAAGUUUCUCAAUCUCAGGAUAACUAUCUAAGUAGGGAUUAAAAUAUAGGUAAUGUUUCUACAAUGUACUAUAAAUGUUGGUGCUUGAAAUUUAUAUCAGGUACAGACAUGUGUGUCCA